rnacentral:rRNA from 1 species
AAAGGAAUUGACGGGGGCCCGCACAAGCGGUGGAGCAUGUGGUGUAAUUCGAAGCAACGCGCAGAACCUUACCAACCCUUGACAUGGGGAGUAUGGGCUUGAGAGAUCGGGUCCUUCAGUUCGGCUGGCUCCCACACAGGUGCUGCAUGGCUGUCGUCAGCUCGUGUCGUGAGAUGUUGGGUUAAGUCCCGCAACGAGCGCAACCCCCAUCUUCAGUUGCCAUCAUUUGGUUGGGCACUCUGAAGAAACUGCCGGUGACAAGCCGGAGGAAGGCGGGGAUGACGUCAAGUCCUCAUGGCCCUUACGGGUUGGGCUACACACGUGCUACAAUGGUGGUGACAAUGGGGAGCAAGGGCGCGAGCCUGAGCCAAUCUCAAAAAGCCAUCUCAGUUCGGAUUGCACUCUGCAACUCGAGUGCAUGAAGUUGGAAUCGCUAGUAAUCGCGCAUCAGCAUGGCGCGGUGAAUACGUUCCCGGGCCUUGUACACACCGCCCGUCACACCAUGGGAGUUGGUUUUACCCGAAGCCGGUGCGCAAACCGCGAGGAUGCAGCCGACCACGGUAAGGUCAGCGUCUGGGGUGAAGUCGUAACAAGGUAACC